rnacentral:tRNA from 1 species
GUGUAGCUCAGUGGUAGAGCGCAUGCCUAGCAUGCACAAGGUUCUGGGUUCAAUCCCCAGUAC